rnacentral:rRNA from 1 species
AGCGAACGCUGGCGGCAGGCUUAACACAUGCAAGUCGAGCGGGCAUCUUCGGAUGUCAGCGGCAGACGGGUGAGUAACACGUGGGAACGUACCCUUCGGUUCGGAACAACUCUGGGAAACUGGAGCUAAUACCGGAUAUGCCCUUAUGGGGAAAGGUUUACUGCCGAAGGAUCGGCCCGCGUCUGAUUAGCUAGUUGGUGGGGUAACGGCCUACCAAGGCGACGAUCAGUAGCUGGUCUGAGAGGAUGAUCAGCCACACUGGGACUGAGACACGGCCCAGACUCCUACGGGAGGCAGCAGUGGGGAAUAUUGGACAAUGGGCGCAAGCCUGAUCCAGCCAUGCCGCGUGAGUGAUGAAGGCCUUAGGGUUGUAAAGCUCUUUUGUCCGGGACGAUAAUGACGGUACCGGAAGAAUAAGCCCCGGCUAACUUCGUG